UCUGUGAACUAGUGUUUUCUUUGAGGGUGAUUUAAUGAAAUGAAUUGCUGUUAACAGUUUCAUAAAAGUUAUUUUCAAACAUGGAUUCUUUAUUAUUUCUACUAAAGUUAUGUUUCCUUCUGGUUGUGGCUGUUUACGCGCAAGACAACAUAGUAGAAAUUGAAUUUCGAAGGAUAUCCGACAGUCGACCAGACAAACCACAAAUAGUCACUGAGCUACUUGUUGACUAUAUAAGUAAUGAUACAUUCGAGAUAAUGUGUAAGUUGAACGAUGUGAAUCACUUGAAUACUCUGGCGUUUUUAAUCCUGUGGCAGUCCGAUGGUUCUUUAAAAAUCAAACUGCAGAAUGAUAAUCAAACAGUUACAAAAACAUACCGGAAACCUACGUUUUAUUCAAAUGUUACUAGGUGGACGGCUGCCGGUCUCUUUGACAUUGUCACAAGUAAUAGUCGCAACACAACACUUGGUGUGUCUCGGUCAGUGUCCUCAUUUACUUGUACAGAUACGAGGAUGUACAAGUGCUAUGUACAGUACAUUAACUAUGCUAUGAAACAAGACUUCGGAAUUAUAGACAAGCAACUUAAAGUACAAGUGACACCAUCGAAAAUCACGAAACAAAUCUUUGAUGCAAGCGGAGAUGGAGAAACUAUAAUUUCUGAUUUAACAAACUCAACUACAAUUGUCCAUGUCGGUCAGAAAUUACGACUACAAUGCACGGCCAACAUUGGGUCAUUCAACUCAUCAGUGAAUAUUGUUUGGAUGAGAAGUAGCUUGGAUAAUGAGAGCCAGCUUGUCCCUUUUACCUCUGGUAAACAGAUAGUCGGGGAACCGAAGGCUUUUGGUAGUUGUGAGUUUGAACAAAAUGACUCUGUAUUAUACAAUGUUAGUCAGGACGACGCCUUAACAUCGGGAAAUCGCUUUUAUGUUCAGUGUUACGUUCAUAUUACGUCGACAGACUGGAAAACACCUGAGCAGCACAGACCAAAUUUUAGCUUUGUUGUCCAUAUGAAUGAUGGAAACGAAACGGAAGCUGUUGACUUUAAAGUUAUAUCAGCAAUUAUUGGAGGCGUUUGUGCUUUGGUUAUUCUUGGAGUUGCCGGGAUUUUCCUGAAGAGAAAGUUUUCAAAUCCACGUCUUUCUAAAGCUGAUGAAAAGUCUGAGGAAACCAGUCGCCGCCCUGAUGAAACAGAUACAUCAUUUCCGUUAGCAAGACUCUAUGAAACACCAGCAGAAAUAGACGAAAUUGAUAACAUACAAAGACAGUGAGUACUACUUACUACACGGGCUUAUCUAAACGAACCGAGCAACCUAAAUCCUCCUUCAAGACAACGGAACCGUUACAAUACGAAGAGUUAGAUUGUGAGAUAUACCAAAAUAUAUGUAACUGAGACUACCAAACGGCUGCACCAGUUUCGUUUUAAUUUCCUAUACCAGACGUGAGACAUUCAAACAUGGACAAUUUUGACCAGACACUUAAUGGUUCAUUUUAAGUGUAUUUAAAAUUGCUUAAGUCAGUUUUUGUCGUAAUAAAGAAAACAUUCAAAAAUGUCGCGGAGGAAAUGUAUUAUUUACUACUCAUUUGCUUUGUACUCGUUCUCUUCUAUUUCAAAUAUAUCAUGCUUUUACUUAUUUUACAAUAAAAUAG